rnacentral:SRP_RNA from 1 species
GUUGGAUAGAUGGGCAAUUAGCGACUGCCUGUAACCCGUGCGCUAACCGGGAUUGACCACACGGUUGAGAGCGCGUACCGAAUCAUGUUAGUCAGACUCUAUCGGUGAUGACGCUUGACGGCUUAGUAGUCGGUGUGAUUGUGAAUCGUGUCAGAUGGGGAACCAAGCAGCACUAAACAGUUUUCGCCGAGCUAAUUAAGUGACGCCAGGCCGAGCUGUUAGACCGACUAUCGUUUUUUGGGAAACGACCGAUCCGUGUUCCAAC